GAAGGUUGAGGGUCAGAUGAUGUUGGAUUUGGUUGUUUUGCGGGUGGUGAGGUGACUUCAGGUUCAGGUGGAGAUUGUUGUGGCUGUUGAGAGACCAGAGUCUGGGUCUGAAGUUGGGCUAGAGUGGGAGAAGAGGGGUCAGAAGGUUCCGUGUCAGAUGAGAUGGUGAAGUAGGGGGGUGAUUCUGGAGAAGAAGAUGAUGAGGUGGUUUCGUUUAGCCUUUCAGCUUCAG
rnacentral:lncRNA from 1 species